rnacentral:rRNA from 1 species
GCCUAAAAUCUAGCCCACGAAUCCACAUGACCCCCCCCCCAAGCAGCAGCAGCAACAAAACAAAACAUUUUAACAUCUUAGUACAGGCGAUCAAAAAAUUUCUAAGCGCUUCAGAUAAAGUACCGCAAGGGAAAAAUGAAAUAGAAAUGAAAUAACCCUAAAGCCCCUAAAUAGCAGAGACACCACCUCGUACCUUUUGCAUCAUGGUCUAGCCAGUCUGCCCAAGCAAAAUGUAAUUUUUAGUUUGACACCCCGAAACCAAGCGAGCUACUUCAGAACAGCCAAAAGGGCCAACCCGUCUCUGUUGCAAAAGAGUGGGAAGAUUCUCAAGUAGGGGUGAUAAACCUACCGAGCUUGGAGAUAGCUGGUUGUUCAAGAAAAGAGUUUUAGCUCCACCUUAAGUUUCCUUAUUAAACUAAACAAACCCCUAAACUUAAGUGUUAUUCAAAUAAGGCACAGCUUAUUUGAAAUAGGACACAACCUCCAACAUAGGGUAAACAAGAGUAACUCAAACAAAGUAGGCCUAAAAGCAGCCACCUUAAAAAAGCGUUAAAGCUUAACUGAUUCCUCACUCAUAAUACCUCAAAUCUACACCAACCCCUCAUCACUAUUGAACAAUUUUAUACCCGUAUAAAAGCUAUCAUGCUAGAACUAGUAAUAAGAAAUCGCCUUUCUCCUAAAUGUAAAUAUAAGCCAAAAUAGACUAUCUAUCGGCUAUUAACGUAGAUGCUAACCUAUAGCAACACUCACUAGAAAACCCUAUAAACCCCCAACGUUAACCUUACACCAGAACAUUACAGGAAAGAUUAAAAGAAAAAGAAGGAACUCGGCAAACUUUAGCCUCGCCUGUUUACCAAAAACAUCGCCUCUUGACAAAACAUAAGAGGUCCAGCCUGCCCAGUGACAAAAUUCAACGGCCGCGGUACCCUAACCGUGCGAAGGUAGCAUAAUCACUUGUUCUUUAAAUGAGGACCUGUAUCAACGGCACUACGAGGGCUAUACUGUCUCCUUUUUCCGAUCAAUGAAACUGAUCUCCCCGUGAAGAAGCGGGGAUCAAAAUAUAAGACGAGAAGACCCCAUGGAGCUUUAAACUCACCAUACACCUCUGUGCCCCUACACCAUUAGACACAAGAGACCUGCAUGUUAGUUUUAGGUUGGGGGGACCACGGAGCAUAACUUAACCUCCGUAACAAAUGGGCUAACACCCUUAUCCACGAGACACAACUCUAAGAAUUAUUAAACUAAUGCUUAUGACCCGAUAUUCGAUCAAUGAACCAAGUUACCCUGGGGAUAACAGCGCAAUCUACUUCAAGAGCCCAUAUCGACAAGUAGGUUUACGACCUCGAUGUUGGAUCAGGGUAUCCCGGUGGUGCAGCCGCUACCAAUGGUUCGUUUGUUCAACGAUUAAAACCCUACGUGAUCUGAGUUCAGACCGGAGCAAUCCAGGUCGGUUUCUAUCUAUAAAGUGCUUCCCCUAGUACGAAAGGACCGGGGCAACAUGGCCAAUGCCCAAACAAGCCAUCACCUACUACUAAUGAAGUAAUCUCAAUUAGACUAGACCUAACACUCUACCCUAAACCAGGGUA